rnacentral:rRNA from 1 species
UGAAUACGAGACGCUAAGGCGUCGAAGUAGUGUAUGUCAUACUUCCAAGAAAAGCUUGCACUGUCAUAGAUAAAAAACGCCUGUACCAUAACCGACACAGGUGGGUAGGUAGAGUAUACUAAGGGGCGCGAGAUAACUCUCUCUAAGGAACUCGGCAAAAUAACUCCGUAACUUCGGGAGAAGGAGUGCCUUAUUCGUAAGGUUGCAAUAACAAGAUCCAAGCAACUGUUUAUCAAAAACACAGGUCUCCGCUAAGUCGUAAGACGAUGUAUGGGGGCUGACGCCUGCCCAGUGCCAGAAGGUUAAAGAAGUUGGUCAGCAAUUGCGAAGCUGAUAACUGAAGCCCUGGUGAACGGCGGCCGUAACGAUAACGGUCCUAAGGUAGCGAAAUUCCUUGUCGGGUAAGUUCCGACCCGCACGAAAGGCGUAAUGAUUUGGAUACUGUCUCGGAGAGGGGCUCGGUGAAAUAGACUUGUCUGUGAAGAUGCGGACUACCUGCACCAGGACAGAAAGACCCUAUGAAGCUUUACUGUAACUUGAAAUUGAAAUUGGACUUUAUUCGCGCAGUAUAGGUGGGAGGCGUUGAUUAUAAUCUCGUGGGAUUAUUGGAGCCAUCAGUGAGAUACCACUCUUGUAAUGUUAGAUUUCUAACUUUGAAUCAUUAUCUGGUCAAAGAACAGUUUCAGGCGGGCAGUUUGACUGGGGCGGUCGCCUCCUAAACGGUAACGGAGGCGUACAAAGGUUUCCUCUGAACGGUUAGAAAUCGUAUCUAGAGUGUAAAGGCAUAAGGAAGCUUGACUGUGAGACCUACAAGUCGAGCAGGGACGAAAGUCGGUCUUAGUGAUCUGACGGUACUGAGUGGAAAGGCCGUCACUCAACGGAUAAAAGUUACUCUAGGAUAACAGGCUGAUCUCCCCCAAGAGUUCACAUCGACGGGGAGGCUUGGCACCUCGAUGUCGGCUCAUCGCAUCCUGGGGCGGUAGUACGUCCCAAGGGUUGGGCUGUUCGCCCAUGAAAGCGGUACGCGAGCUGGGUUCAGAACGUCGUGAGACAGUUCGGUCCAUAUCCGGUGUAGGCGUUAGAAUAUUGAGAGGAGCCUUCUUUAGUACGAGAGGACCGAGAAGGACAUACCUCUGGUGUACCAGUUAUCGUGCCAACGGUAAACGCUGGGUAGCUAUGUAUGGAGUGGAUAACCGCUGAAAGCAUCUAAGUGGGAAGCCCACCUCAAGAUAAG